UUUCUUAAGUGAUAAAAAGUUACGAUGAAAAUCUAAAGAUCGAAAUAACAAUCAAGAAAUUAAAUAUCCAUGAGUGUGAAUUAUUCAAAAAUUACCGUAUGAUAAAGCAAUCUGAUUCACAAUUAAAUCUUUCAAAGUUGCAGUGAAUUUAUUUAUAACAGAAGAAAGAGAAAUAAAACUUGGAAAAAGGAAAAAAAAAACGACGAUGAAACAAUUUUGUAAAAGAAACUGAUCGAUAUCGCGUAUGUUAUAGGUACGUGUAUCAAAAUUUACAUUCUGUCUGUAGAAAACGGACGAGCCGUUUAUUGGUUUUCCCGUGAACGUAGAUUUACAUCUUGCAAUCUUGUCGCGAAUCUAACAUAAGUCACUAAAUCGGUUGGAUCUUGUAGACAGUGUUGUACGAAAUGGCACACCGGACUGACCAGAACGGGCAAUUUGCUUUUACUUUACGAGCGCCGUUUCGACUUUAUUUCAACGUCAUCCCGUUCUCUUUUUCUCUUCUCUUUCUUUCUCUCUCUCUCUCUCUCUCUCUCUUUCUCUCUUCUUUGCUCUAAAGUUUAGGGAUAAAGGAAAACAUCGAAGUAACCGUUUUUACGGCACGUAGGAGAUAAGCCAAACGCGUUUCCAUGAAGCUCAGGGAGUGCGAACGUGCUAUCUUUCCGGCGUUCGUGAUGUCGAUGGCGAGCUUACUGUGUCGUCGCUUCUACUUCGACCCUUCUAAGCGAUGCCACCGUGAAAAUGGAGUUUAUUUCAUAUCGACCUCUCGCGCGCGCUCGUUUGGAAGAAAUUUUUCCGCAAAAUGCUCCGUCUCCAUAGAAUUUCCGUUUUAUGAUACUAGUUUUUUCUCCACUUACCUCCAACGUGGACGAAUUUACGAGUGUAUCGAUGCGACUACGAAAUUUAUUAACCCAAUAAUGUACCCAAUUUUAUAAUCAGCAAUAUGCUUAUCGCGCUGUUAUAUACUUAUCACAUAAUAUUCGUGAAGAAAAAAUUUCUCGGAAAUGUGCUCCACUUAGGUAAAAGUAUGUAACGCUCAUAAAUAUGUGCCUAUAUAAUCGUGUAUUCACACGCGAAAGUCAAAGUACUAAAAUUCAUAAAUUACGUGAAUAUUGAGCAAAAGAAAAAAAUGGAGCGAUUCAAUGAAUGACAUUCUGUCUUGAUUUAUUGAUUAUAUAUAUGUAUUUAAAAAAAAAUAUUUAACGACUUGCGGAAAGCCAAGAAAAGAAUAAUUAUUCUCUUAUAUAAUUUAUCGAUAUUCUUUCGAUAUGUGCUUUCUCUUCAAAUUGGGCAAGAAGAACGUCGAUAUUUUUUCCAGAGAAGCAGACGCGGAACAUCGUAUGCUCGCGUUGUGGUGGGCGUGAAAAUCGAAAGUUUCGUAAAGAAGACGCGUGUGAAGCGUAAUUGUUCGCAGCUAGCAAUAAUUAAUGGACACCGAGUCGAUUAGAUAAAAUUGAAACGAAUAUCAUAAAUAUACCGUCGGCUAUUUUCGUACUGGCACAGCACGAUUUGCCUUAUCGAGCUUUCUACUCGUAACUCAAACCGACAGGGCGAAUAAAUUUCUGUCGACGAUUAACAAUGUGCAGAGAUCCAAGAGGCGAAAGUAUAGCGGCGAGAGAUAGCACGAGCGAGAUAAGCGCUAACUUGUAAUUAACUUGCAAUUAUUUUAAAGAGACAUUUCUCCGUAUUUUCUCCACGAGCCGGAAGAAAGAUCGCGUACUGCGCUUCGGAUACGCCCGAAGCGUUAAAUGAUAAAGAAACGAGCUUCGUAAAAUUUAACGAGCGCGAAUGAUUCGUUUCUCUUUUUCUUCUAUUUUUUUCUUUUUUUUUCUAACUAUUUUUCCCUAUGAUGAAUAGACCCUGUCGUGUAUUCAAAGCUUAUAAUUUAAUUCUCACUAAUUUAUGAAUGAAUGAGACCAUUUUGCAGCUCAAUUGUAGAAUAGUUUAUUUAAAGAAUAAUGCCAAAAUUAUGAGGGAUUAUAAUUAUGAAAAUAUAAGAGACCGACUCAUAAUAAAUUUAAAAUUUAAAAUUUUAAAUACGAUUGUUUGUAACUUUGACAUCUCGAUCUUGUUAGCAUAUCCUUCGCUUAAGCUUUUAUUAUGUAUUUUUCUUACAACUUCCAAAUUAUCGAAUAUAUAAGAGUUAUUGUCGAAGAUGCAAUAUAACGAUAAUAGUCAGAGAAAAAGAAUACGUUUUUUCAAUUUACUCUCGCAUGUUUGCCUUUUUACAUCAUCGAAAUAUCGUUCUAUUUAAUUUAUCUUACCGAUGGAAUGACGAUAGAAUAUUUGUCCUACUCUUUCUACAUCACACGCAUGAGACAAUGACGACGACAAUGAUGAGAAAACAUUGUUGAGAUCUAUCGAAUAUAACGAGCCGAGUUAUCUUGAAAUUGCUUACCUACGGAUCGUUCAUUGUAGAAACAUUUGCUUUAUUAUCAUUAUCGCUCUUCUAUUACCAUUUAUAAACGAUACCUAUUUUGCUUGUUCUCAUUAAUUAUCUGAA